rnacentral:lncRNA from 10 species
GGUGGGGUCAGCCCUCCUUUUUGCUAGGGGACAUUCUCAGGUGCUGCAGGAACUUGCUCUGCCAUGGACAAGUUUAUUGUGAAAUCAGGAGAUUUCACAGGGAGCCACACGGAGGCAACCGUGGUCCAUGGAGAACAGCAGACACAGAUGAAGAACUUCUAAUCUCAGGGAGAGGCCUCUCCAGUGGCUAAGAAAGCAGACAAGAAUGAAUUAGGAGCUGUCUCAGACGGAUAUCUUUAAAAAGGCAGGAAGCAAUCGGGAAGUAAUGAAAGACUUCCAAAAAGAACAUCUGGUAAUGAUGCUUUAUUACUUUU